GAUGAACGCUGGCGGCGUGCCUAAUACAUGCCAGUCGAGCGAACAGACGAGGAGCUUGCUCCUCUGACGUUAGCGGCGGACGGGUGAGUAACACGUGGAUAACCUACCUAUAAGACUGGGAUAACUUCGGGAAACCGGAGCUAAUACCGGAUAAUAUAUUGAACCGCAUGGUUCAAUAGUGAAAGACGGUUUUGCUGUCACUUAUAGAUGGAUCCGCGCCGCAUUAGCUAGUUGGUAAGGUAACGGCUUACCAAGGCAACGAUGCGUAGCCGACCUGAGAGGGUGAUCGGCCACACUGGAACUGAGACACGGUCCAGACUCCUACGGGAGGCAGCAGUAGGGAAUCUUCCGCAAUGGGCGAAAGCCUGACGGAGCAACGCCGCGUGAGUGAUGAAGGUCUUCGGAUCGUAAAACUCUGUUAUUAGGGAAGAACAAAUGUGUAAGUAACUAUGCACGUCUGGACGGUACCUAAGCAGAAAGCCACGGCUAACUACGG
rnacentral:rRNA from 1 species